GGCAAGACUACUUAAGUUUGUAUAUGAAAGGGCAUAUUCUCUGAUAUUCUCCUUCCUGACUCCAGAGGAUGUGGGACCAUCUAGGUUUGUAUAUGAAAGGAGUCAUUCUCUGGAAGUUCUUCCUGAUUCCAGAGAGUCCCUUUAAGUUUGUAUAACUUUUUGUUGGUAAUUUUACAUAACUUUACAGGGCUGUCUGGUUUCGCUCUCAUCAGUAAUUUAUCUGUUUCUGGGAGAAUAUGAGGCGGUCUCUUGAUAGAAGUGUUUUAUUAGUACUUAUAUGCCAUUUCACUAAAUGCAUCUAUUUAAAAAAACAAAAAACAAAAAAGUAAUGGCUUGGGAUAAAGUUGCUCUGUUAUCAAGGAAAGGGACCCAAGUGAUAGGUUUCAGGCUAGAAUUUCAGUCAUUAAAAUAAGUACCUAUUCUGAGCCCCCAAAUAGUAGUAUAUUAUGUGUACUUCAAAGAGCUGGAUCACUGGGAAAUAAUAGAUUUGGUUCACUGAAUUCUAUCUAACACCUUAUUAACUGUUUUCAUAUUGGUGGGCUACAGUCCCACGCUGCUCCCAUUAAGUCUGACUUCUGUAGGCUUGAAACUAGCCCAUAUUCUUUCUCUUUUGCUUCCAGAUUGCAGCCUUUACCCAACAAGUGACUAGGACUCUCUGUUCUUCAUAGAACAGUAAGAAUUUCUUUACAUAGAAAGUAAGGAAAUUAGGCUAAAUCAUUGACUGGUAGGAGAACCACCAUUUUUGCAUUUGAUUGUGUUAAUUUGCCUCCUCUGCAUCGGGAAAACCAGAGGCCAGCCUGGCUCUAACUUGUGCUUAACUUUCCGAGGUUCCAAUUUUGCCAUUUACUGAUUUACCAGUAACCCUGAGGCAGGUGUGGCUUUUGGGAAUAUUUGGGGGUAUUACAAGUUUCUAAUUCUGGAAAUAUUUGCGUUAUUCGAUGUUUCUAGUUCUAGGAGGCUGUUUCUGUGUUAGACUCUACCAUGAUAGAAAACAGAGUUCUGUGUACUUUACAUGUCACUAGUCUUUGUCAAAACAGUUGGUUAUUUGGUUACCAAGGACCAACAGCUCAGUAAAUCACAUGGUAGUGAGAGCUAUUCUCC
rnacentral:lncRNA from 1 species